CUUGCUCCCGGAUGUUAGCGGCGGACGGGUGAGUAACACGUGGGUAACCUGCCUGUAAGACUGGGAUAACUCCGGGAAACCGGAGCUAAUACCGGAUAGUUCCUUGAACCGCAUGGUUCAAGGAUGAAAGACGGUUUCGGCUGUCACUUACAGAUGGACCCGCGGCGCAUUAGCUAGUUGGUGGGGUAAUGGCUCACCAAGGCGACGAUGCGUACCCGACCUGAGAGGGUGAUCGGCCACACUGGGACUGAGACACGGCCCAGACUCCUACGGGAGGCAGCAGUAGGGAAUCUUCCGCAAUGGACGAAAGUCUGACGGAGCAACGCCGCGUGAGUGAUGAAGGUUUUCGGAUCGUAAAGCUCUGUUGUUAGGGAAAAACAAGUGCGAGAGUAACUGCUCGCACCUUGACGGUACCUAACCAGAAAGCCACGGCUAACUACGUGCCAGCAGCCGCGGUAAUACGUAGGUGGCAAGCGUUGUCCGGAAUUAUUGGGCGUAAAGGGCUCGCAGGCGGUUUCUUAAGUCUGAUGUGAAAGCCCCCGGCUCAACCGGGGAGGGUCAUUGGAAACUGGGAAACUUGAGUGCAGAAGAGGAGAGUGGAAUUCCACGUGUAGCGGUGAAAUGCGUAGAGAUGUGGAGGAACACCAGUGGCGAAGGCGACUCUCUGGUCUGUAACUGACGCUGA
rnacentral:rRNA from 1 species